UUGUGUUUCAAUUUAUUUCUUCAAUGUCAAAAACAAUUUUUUGUUAUAAGUGGUAAUUGUUGUAGUUUUUUUCUUUAUAGGCCUCCAAUCUAAUAAGCCGUUUGGAAAAAAUAUUCUCAUAUCUGUUAACCACAUGUUUUAUUGCUGGUUCUCGUUUUUAUGGCUGUAGUAGGAAGGAAAAGCAAUGCUGAAAAUCAGACUAACAAGAUAUUUUUUAUAUGGAAAAUUUGAAGAUUUGCACUCAAAACGUGUCUACAAAUUUGUCAUUAUUAUUUGAUAGAAUGUAUAAUAAAAAACGUUGAUGGGGACAGCUGCAAGUUAAACAUUAAAUUUACCAGUUUAAAGUUUAUUCUGGAACAGCACAUCUAAAGGACCUAGAGCAAUUGUUUUAGGAAAAUUAAAGUUAUUGAUCAAGUUAUGGAAGACACUUCAAUGUUACCAUCAAUGUAAAUGAAGUCUGAGAAGUCUCGGCUGGAUCCAUCUUGAAUUGUACUCCAUUUGAAAACAAAUAUAAAACUUGAGCUGACAACUCUUAAAUUGAAAAAAGGUGUAAAAAGAGAUGAAAGACAGUAAUCCUCGGAGAUUGCUCUGUUUCUUAAUUUCCACGCAUGUGCCUAAAUCAAACGGCAAAAUGUCCGGAAAUGGCGGCAAAAUGUCUGAACAAACUAAUUUUGGCCAUCAUAUGUUCAGAUAAACAAUGGUUAUUCUUUAAGAAAUUCUUAUGGCUGGAGGUAGAUUGUUUAGAAUUCAAUGUUUUUAAUGGUUUACUACUAUGGAGUCUGGUAUGUUUAUUUUAGAUAUAUUUUAUGGACCAUUAUUACACCCUUUUUUUUGUUGAAAGUAUCCUUUAUUUAUUUUUCUACAUUGGUUAUCAAAAUUUACUAGAGGUAUAAUAUAUUUGGAAAACAACACAUGCAAUGCAGUUUAGGAAACCUUUUCAUCUGUUUGUAGAAUAGUUUGUUUACAUUAUAUCAAGGGUUUAAUACAGAUAAUUAAAUUGACCAUGGAGCCCCUUUUUAGAUGCCUUUAUCUUUGUUGGUAGAAUUUCUUAUUUACUCCACAUUUCGAAUUUAUUUUGAAAUUCAUGAGAAAAAUAACAUUUAAUAUAAUAUUUUCUGAUAUCGUUUGUCUAAUUUGGGGAUGUGGAGCACCCUACAUUAUGGGAAGUUUUAAAAUCACAGAAUUCUCAAUAUCAAGAUAACAAAAAUGUUUUGAUUUGGUCUUCAUACAUAUGCAGCUAAUUAUUUGGAACUUGAGAUAAAUUUCAGUAACAUUGUUUCAAAUUCUACAAUCCUUAAUUAACAUAAAAAUUUUCAUGUACCUGUAAUAACUAAUGAAAGUACUAAUUCGAAGAACGAAGUUUAUGUCGUAAAACAUUAAAAGUAUACAGAUUCCCAAAAGGAAAUUACUAUUAUUUGCUGCCUACAACCUAUACUUAUAUAGUCAUUUAAUAAUAUUAAGUUAUUGUGAAUUGUAAUAAUUAAAUCUAUGCCAUAUUUUAUUGUAUGUAUAAUAUCUAUUAUCACUAAUUAUUUUAAAACUUUCUUAGAAAUAUUAUUAAAAAUAUAUCUUGCUUUAUAUAGCUUUAUUUAUUUUAUGUUUGAAAACACUAUUUUAUU